UAAAAGAUAAGCUAAAAAAGCUAGUGGGCUCAUACCUCACCUAUGACUCUGUCUCUUUUAA
rnacentral:tRNA from 1 species